CAGGCGUUUGUGUUGAGCACAUUGUGGUUGAUACAAAUACUUCUAAAUGUACUCUUCCCAACGCCUGGC
rnacentral:pre_miRNA from 1 species